GGGAAUAUUGCACAAUGGGCGAAAGCCUGAUGCAGCAACGCCGCGUGAGUGAUGAAGGUCUUCGGAUUGUAAAGCUCUGUCUUUUGGGACGAUAAUGACGGUACCAAAGGAGGAAGCCACGGCUAACUACGUGCCAGCAGCCGCGGUAAUACGUAGGUGGCGAGCGUUGUCCGGAUUUACUGGGCGUAAAGGGUGCGUAGGCGGAUGUUUAAGUGAGAUGUGAAAUACCCGGGCUUAACUUGGGUGCUGCAU
rnacentral:rRNA from 1 species